rnacentral:rRNA from 1 species
AACGAACGCUGGCGGCAGGCCUAACACAUGCAAGUCGAGCGCACCUUCGGGUGAGCGGCGGACGGGUUAGUAACGCGUGGGAACGUGCCCUUCUCUACGGAAUAGCCUCUGGAAACGGAGAGUAAUACCGUAUACGCCCUUUGGGGGAAAGAUUUAUCGGAGAAGGAUCGGCCCGCGUUAGAUUAGGUAGUUGGUGGGGUAACGGCCUACCAAGCCUACGAUCUAUAGCUGGUUUUAGAGGAUGAUCAGCAACACUGGGACUGAGACACGGCCCAGACUCCUACGGGAGGCAGCAGUGGGGAAUCUUAGACAAUGGGGGCAACCCUGAUCUAGCCAUGCCGCGUGAGUGA